UGUUUUUUUUUUUUUUGCUUAUUUAUGUUUGCAAUAUUAGAUACAUGAGUAUUUUUAAAAUGUUAUAUAUCUCACAUUCUUUUAGUGAUAUUUUUAAUUGAUUUUCAAUUAUUAAAUUCCUAGAAUUAAUAUUUGUUAGAGAUUGGCCUAUAUAAAUAUCGAAAUAGAAAAUGUAUAGAAAAUUGAACACAUAAAUAUUUACGUGGAAAACCCUCAUUUAAGAGGAUAAAAGUCACGAGCAAAGAAGGCUUCGACUUUUUACUAGAUGAGUAAACAAACGAGGGUACAAGAUGAAGAAAAUAAAUCUAAAUGUAUUAAACGUACAAACUCAAAUCUCGAAAACAAAGCCCUAACUUGGGAAUAAAAUUCUCUCCAUAGUUACCACGAAAACCCUCAUUAAAACUCAUUUGCAACUACAUAUUGUUGCCCCCAAAAGAAAAGUUCUAUAGUACUACAUCUUUAUUUGUCUUUCUAAAUUAGGGAUACAAUGACCCCUUUAAAUAGACUAAGUUUAAAAAGUUGAAAUGACUAAAAUAUCCCUAAAGUAAUUAAAGUUCGACUAGGAAAAUAUAACAGAGUUUAACUAAGAGAAGAAACUUGGUAUUUGUGGGAAACAUGUCGCCACGUCACAACGUCAUCAUUCGCGUUGUCACGAAGUCGUUCGUCAUCACGACGUUGGGAAGCUUCUCAUCGUGACGUCAUCAGCUGAAAUUGGUAAGUGCCUGCAAGCUAUCCGAUAAAUACGAGACACACCCUACAAACCUCCACCUUAACUCGUAUUUAACGUACCUUCUUCUCCAAGCCCUGCCACAUGUAGAACUCGAUCUUUGCAGAAUGUCAACCAAGCCUAAACCGUUCUCGAACUUGGAAACCGAAAGACUCCCUAGUCUUCAAAUCAAGGUUGUAUAAUGCAACCAAUGCCAAUGAUACCCGAACGGAUGUGUGCUUCACAACAAGAGAGAAAGCAUCGAGGAAAUCAACUCCCUCCACUUGACCGUCACCCUUUGCGACCAACCUUGCGUUAAACACUUUUCUUUAUUCUAAACUGCUACAAUAUGAAAUCUAUGAUUUCAUCAAAAUUUUCAAUAUCGAAAUUCGUUGUUAUUAUACUUGAAUGGGUCGAUUACAAGAACAUAACCUAGCUCUGAUACUAGUUUGUUGAGGAUCGACCUGUAUAAACAACGAACAAAAUUCUAAUUUUAUGUAUGAUUUAGUGGUUAAAAGAUAUUGAUUUAAUUUAGAUUUAAAGAAUUAGGUAAAUUUUUAUUUAGAUAAUACUCUUUGAACGGAGGGUGUGCGUAUAUAGUGUGAGUAUAUAUUUUUUUUGCAAUAGUUUAUAAUAUUGGUAAUAAUAAUAUUUUAUUAUGUAAAAAAAUUAUAAUUAUUUAUCAAAUAAUUGUAUUGUAAAGAUUAAAUUUUUGUAUAUAAAGUUAUAUUAUAAAACAAACAUAACAUUAUAAAAGGAUAUCUCAUUAAAAUAUAUAUCCUUAUGAAAUGAUAUAUUUGGAUGUUUAUAUAAACCGCUUUUUUAUUAAUAUUUUUAUUAUUUUACUUGAAGUGUUGAUGUUUAUAUAAACUGUUUUUUUAUUAAUAUUUUUAUUAUUUUACUUAAAGUGCUGAUGUAAUUUAAAAAUAUUUUAAAGUUUUAAAAAAAAUGUUUUACAUGUUUUAAACCAUUAUUAUAUUUCUUAUUUUACUUUCCCUAUUUAAUUUUUCUAAUAUAUUCCUUCCACGUGUGUAUCAACCUAACUGUAUAGUAUAAAUAUAAGAAAAACAAAAACAAAAAUUCACUCACCACUACAACCACACCCAUAAGCAGCUUUAGACAAUUUUGACUCUUACAAGUUCGUGAAAGCAUAAUUUAGAAGGGAUUUAUAUAAAUUGUUGGAAAAUAAACACAACGAUAAUUACAUAUUAUUAUUUACUAUCAUAAUAGGUUAGUCCAAAUUUAAAAGUGAUUUAAUUUGAUUACGGUUUAUUGUGCUUUAAUUAUUAAAUAAAAUAUAGAUCAAAUAUGUGUAGAUAUUCUAGUAACUAAUUUUUAAUUGAUGAUGGGCUGAUUAGAGAUUAGGGCUAAUAUGCCAAAGUUAUAUAUAUAUGUGUAGGGUUAUGGUCUCCAAAUUACAUAUAAAGUAAUUUUUCUAAUAUCCCAUCUUUAGAAAAGGUGAGUCACCUUCUCUAAUUACUUGUGUGCUAAUUUGGAAGACCAAAACCCUAAGAUCCGUAGAUUUCAAGAAAUCGAUGAAUUCAGGUACGCUUUCGCAUCUAGUUUUGUUCUUAAUUUAUUCUUGAUAAUUUGACAUGACGAAUCUUGCUUUACAGUUCUAAUUUUAUAUUAAAUAUUAUUUAUGGUUCUAACAAGUGGUAUCAGAGCUUCGUCAUGUCAUGUUGAAUUAUUGGGAAUGAAUUGAUUAUUUAUUAUUUUUGGAUUGAUUCGUUUUUCUUUUUUUAAUUUUAUGGAUUUGAUAUUUUAAUUAUAUACUAUGUUGAAUCUUUAAAUUCUUAAUAAAAUUUUUGAGUUUGGAUUCUUUAAAUAAAGUUUUAGGAUUUUAUAAAUAUAAUCUAGUUUAAUAUUUGAAUAUAUUAUUCGAAAGACAAAGGUUUAUUUAUUUAUUUAUAAUUAAAUGAUAAAGUUUGAUUUGUGGGAUUUCUUUCUCUUCUCUUCGCACAAUUAUUUUAUAAAUUUUGGUUAAAGUCAUUAUUAGAUUAAAGUUACAGACUUAUAACUUUUUGUAAUUGAAGAAUUUCAAUUGGGUUGUAUAAUUGGUUUUGAAUGUUAAUUCGCUUGAUAAUCGAAUGAAUGAAUGUUGUUAAGAUAUUUUUUUUCACACUAUUUAUUUUAAAUUUUCUGUUUGUGGUUGAAUGUAUAUGGAAUUAUCAUAUUUUGUCUUUAUUCAUAAUGAAUUAUAUUCACGAUUGAAUUCAAUUCAUAUAUACGAAUGAUUAUUUUUGGUUUCUGUUAUAAUUAUUUUAUAUAAGUUUUACUCAUUAUGGAACUGACUAAAAUUAAAACAUUUGGGUUUUUUUUAUACGGUGGCUAUGAAUUUUCAUAAGUAGUUGCGCAUAUGAAGGCCUUUAUACAAAUUGAGAUUUUUUUUUUAUAUUUGGUAGUUAUGGAUUUUUUUAAGUGUUUGUGCGUAUAAAGAAGUUUUAUGAUAAUGUCUUUAGUCAUGAAUAUAAAUUUGAGUUUACAUUAAAUAUGUAAGGCAAGUCAAUAUUAUUUUUCUAUUAUUAAAUCGUGUAUAUGCAUAUAUUAUAUGCAUAGCAAUGAUUUUGAGGAUUAAUACAUGAUCAUAAUUUGUGUGGAUAGGUGUUUAUAACCAUUAUUCAAUAAGAUAUCUUUUAUAGUUUAAUUUGUGACAUUAAGUUUUGAUGGAUAUCAUUGAAGUUGUUAAACUUUUUUUCUUGUUAUGGUUAUAUAUUCAAAUUUAUGUGUGCUUUGAUGCAAAUUCAUGUAAACUAUAUACAUGUUUAAAUAAUUUGGUUUUAAGUUUGGUUCUACAACAUUAGGUUCUGGCAUAUUAUGGUUCCAAUAUUUAGUUAAAUUAUGUUGAUAUGGUCUACAAUAUGAACUAUGGGAUAUAUCAACUAUUAUAAUUUUGUUUUUUAGAUUUAUUAGCUUGAAUGUAUUUUUCAAGUAUUCAUGCAAAUCUCUAUUUAAUCAUUAAUACAAUUUUGGAUUUACAUGGUAUAAGCAUGUAUAAGUUUUUUUAUCUGAUUUUGAAUACAUGUAUAUGUGUGAGUUACUUUGGUGUUUUUUUCUAUGCUAAAAGAGAGAGCCACAUUCUCAAGAUUACUUGUAUGCUAAUUUAGAAGAUCAAAACCCCGAGAUCCGUAAAUUUCAAGAAAUCGAUAAAUUCAAGAAUGCUUCCGCAUCUAAUUUUGUUCUUUUAAUUUAUUCUUGAUGAUUUGGCAUGACAGAUUUUAAUUUACAAUUCUAAUUUAUAUUAAAUAUUAUUUACUGUUCUAAUAUAAAUACCAUUGAGUAUUUUGCAAAUAACAUAAAAUUCUUAUAUUUUCACCCAACACAAAUUUAACAUCUUUUUUCAUUCGAAUUUAACACUAUAUUUUAUAUGAGAGAAAAAAUUGGGAUUUAUAUAAAUAUACAAUAUUAUGAGUUAUAAAAGUAUAAAAAGAAAACAAAUGCAAUUAUUGGUAGGUCUACAUUUAUGGUCCCGAAAAUAAAUUUAUAGGAGCCUUAAAAACUUCUCAUGUAUCCUUAGGGUAAAUAUGAGACCACUCAUUUUCUUACUACUAUUAUUUUAUUUUUUCUCAGUAUUCCAUUGGAUGGAUUUAUUCUGGUUGUUUCUUCUCAAAUAUAUAAGAUAUUUCAGUAACCUGCGAAAUAUUUUCUUUUUCUAAUUUGAUAUAUAUUUUUCCUUACAUAUGAGAGUAGGGUUAGUUUAAUAAUAUUUUUUAAAAGUGUAGUUGAAUUAAAAAGUAGUUUUGAGUUAAAGUUAAAAUUCUGUUCCUAUUUUUGGUAAGAAAAGUAUUUUUUUAAAGGAUAUUUUAUCUCAAAAAUACUUUUAAAAAACUUAAAAGUAUCUUGUUUAGAAAUAUUUUUAUUUUAAAAAAUAUUUUUUAUCUUUAAAAAAUACUUUUGAGAAGCAAUGUUAAACUUACCUUAAGACGUAAAUAAAAAAUUUUGAUGAUUGAGAAUAUUUUAAUGUGUAUUUUAAAAUUUUAGAUAAUUACCAUUUAACAGAAUAAAUACUUUAAUUUUUUUUAAAAAAAACACAUCUUAAAAUGAAAAAAAAAGAAAAAAAAAGAAGACUUUUAUUGUUCUUUUCUUUAUCUUUUAUGUAUUGCUUCUCUAAUCUUAACAUUUUUAGGCUAAACAUGGUAGAGAAAUAAUUAUGAAUUUUGUUAACAUCAGUUAUAAUGUUAUUUGCGACUUAAGAAAAGGCCAAAAGUCGACAAAAUAUUAUAAUUUACUUCACAUGUAUAUAUUUACAUAUUUUUGAGUAAAUUACAAUACUGAAAAACAUUGAAUUAAGUGAAAAAUUUCAAAUAAUCUUUAUGUAAUAUGCCAACCUCGUUUAAAAGAGAUUGAUUUAAGAAAAUCUCUUUUAUUAUAUUUUAUAAUAAAUUAUUUAAUUAGAAUAAGAUUUUUCAUAUUUAUUUCGAUCACAUUUACUCUUUUACAAAUUAUUAUAAUGCCUAUUUAAAUGUAUUUUCGAGUUUUUUUAGAGGAGUUGAGAGAGUAUUUAUUCUGUUUAUGUUACAAAUCUAUUUGAGUAUAAAUUCUUUGUAAGUAAUUUGUUUUUACUGAUUAAUUUAUAACUAAAUCUUUUGUGAAAUUUUAAUGUGAGAGUAAGUUGAAUUUAAAUUAUUAUCUUAUUAUUUAAGUAAGAUCUUAUAAAUGGAGAAAUUUUUUAAACCGUGCCAAUAAAUUUUUAAUGUCAAUUUUUGAGCAAAACCUUAUAGAUGGUAAAAUUUUUUGAAUUACGUUAGUGUCAUUUUUAUAUUUUCUAUUCCUAAUUACUUAUUCGAAUUGCAAUUUAACCAAUAUUUAAACUAAUAUCUGAUAGGCAAAUUUCUUUUUAGAGUUGUAUUCCAAUUAUUGGCGCACUUCGACUGAGAGGGAGAGGGAACAAUUCUUAUCUGAAUUUCUCCAUCUUUUGGUUCCACCACAAAUGUAGCUAUCCUUAAUAUUAGGUUUUCUUUUUCUUUUUUAUAGAAAAGAGAACGAAAAUUAUAGUCCACUAAUUAAGCACCAAUUAUAAAACAAAAAUUCCUAACCCUUUUGAGUUACAAAUUUUGAAAUGAAAUUGAGUUUAAGAACAUAGAGCUACUAAUAUUAUUCAAUAUUAUAAUUAAUAUGCAUCAUUAUGGUUUUCCUUUUCCAUGUUGGGUUAAAAACUAAUAAAGAUAAUCAUAAUUAUUAUUUUUAAAAUAAUAAUAAAUUCAAUUCUUAAUAUUUAUUCUUUUUUAUUAUUUUAGUUGUUUUUUUUUUUGAUAUUUUACCAUCCAAUCUUGAAAAUUAGUUAAAUUGCUCUUUUUAGAUGGAAAAAGUGACUAGAUUUUUUAAAUUUAAAUGGCAUUGAUGCAAUAGUUGCGAGAUGUAAUUUAUAAAAUUAAAAAAAAUAUUUUAAAAAAAAUCAUAAUUUUUUUAAAAAAAUUAUCCACAUAAACAAUAAUAUAUAUAUAAACUGUCAUACAGAUUGUUACAUAGUGUCAUUAAAAAUUUAAUAGUUCCUUCAAAUUUUCUAUUCAAAGCAAACUAAUAUUUGACUUUUAAAAAAAAAUUUAGAGUGAAAAUGAUAAAAUAAAAAUAUAUUAUAUAUUAAAUUUAUCAUUAUUUUUUAAAUUAAGUUCAAAGAUAUCAACUAAAACUUAUGUAAUGCAAAUCAUUUGUCACUAUACCAAUAGUGAUUUUAAUAUUUAACGAGGAAAUAGAUUGAAUGCUGAAUAUAUACAUUUGAAUUUAGCCUUUUUAAGUUGUUAUUUUAAUGAUAGAAACUUGUGAUGUUAUAAUAAAACAAUUUAAUAAAAAAUGGUUUGUUAGGUGUGUUCCUAUGUACUAAGAUAAUGAGCCUCCAACAGCACAGCGUUGCUUGUCCACAAAAUCUUUAUCCUCUUAUUUUAAAGCCAGACCACCCAAUCGCCUUUUUCUUUUUUAAUUUUUAUCCUAUCUUAACAUGAAUAUCUUAGCACUGGAAAUUAAGGAAGAACUGGAUUCAAGAAAUAUGGCAAGAAACUACCUUUUUAUUCAUUAGUUCUCAGCCGUUCCAUUGGAAAUCCAAAACAAAACAAAGAGAAAGACCCCAAGCCAAAUACCUCAAUUAAAAAAGAAAAAGAAAAAGGGGGGGUUUUGAGGGGCUUAAUUUAAGUACAACUUUGAAACAAAUGGAAUUCCUAGGAGGGAAGUAAACAACUUAGUAGCCUUUAGGCUUGUAGGCAAUGAAACUAAUGCACUGCACUUGACGAACGUUGUCGAACCCAAUGAUUCUAAUGAAUGCAUUGGGGUAUUCCUUCUUGCAAUUCUCAAGCUCCUCCAACACCUGAGCCGAGUCAGUGCACCCAAACAUGGGCAGUUUCCACAUGGUCCAGUAGCGUCCAUCGUAGUACGUGGGUAAGCUCGAGUACUUACGGUGCACGAAUCCCUCCUGCACAUACAUAUAAAACACAUUUAAUCAAAUCAAAUAUCCCACUAAAAAAAUAAAGUGUUGGAAAGGAAUAAUUUAGAGCUCGAAAACACCUCUAAUUCGAAUUCCAAGCAAGGAAUCCAUUUAGAGCGAAGAAGGUAAUCUACUUCCUUAGCCAACUGUACGGGUGUAAGAUCGGGGAGGUAUGAGAGUGUCUCGAACUUCUUCUUCCCAAGAGGAGGCCACACCUAUACUCAAAAGCCAAGAUAUAUAUUUGAUUCAAUUUAUGUAAUUUGUUGUGUUCAAACAAUUGGGGUAAUUUAAGUUGUAUUUAUGCAUCACCAAGUACCUGCAUGCAUUGCACUCUCCCACCAUUGCUUGCAAGAGAAGUGAUGUCGUUGUUGGCCUUCCUAGUGACUGGGAAAGCAGAGGCAGACUUGAGGCCGGUGAAGGGGGCCACCAUGUUGGCCUGUGCCGGGGAGGAGCAGUUCACGGUGGCAAUGGUUGCCGAUGAGAUCAUGGAGGAGGCCAUUGCUAUUACUGCUUACUAGUACUAUAUGCUACAGUUAUACAAAAGAGUCUCACUGAUCCCUUAAUAGUGUCACUGCCUUGGUGCAAUCCCCUAUAUAUAGUCAUAAAAUUUGGCCUAAGCUCACAACAUUUAGAGAUUGG
rnacentral:lncRNA from 1 species